GCCGGGUAUGGUGGCACGUGCCUGUAAUCCCAGCUACUUGGGAGGCUGAGGCAGGAGAACUGCUUGAACCCAGGAGGCAGAGAUUGCAGUGAGCCAAAAUUGUGCCACUGCACUUCAGCCUGGGUGACAGAGCAAGACUCUGUCUCUG
rnacentral:sRNA from 1 species